rnacentral:rRNA from 1 species
CGGGCGGGGCAGGCCUUAUACAUGCAGUCGAGCGGACUGAUGGGAGCUUGCUCCCUGAAAUCAGCGGCGGACGGGUGAGUAACACGUGGGUAACCUGCCUGUAAGACUGGGAUAACUCCGGGAAACCGGGGCUAAUACCGGAUAGUUCUUUCCCCCGCAUGGGGGAGAGUGGAAAGGCGGCUUCGGCUGCCACUUACAGAUGGACCCGCGGCGCAUUAGCUAGUUGGUGAGGUAACGGCUCACCAAGGCGACGAUGCGUAGCCGACCUGAGAGGGUGAUCGGCCACACUGGGACUGAGACACGGCCCAGACUCCUACGGGAGGCAGCAGUAGGGAAUCUUCCGCAAUGGACGAAAGUCUGAGGGAGCAACGCCGCGUGAGUGAUGAAGGUUUUCGGAUCGUAAAGCUCUGUUGUUAGGGAAGAACAAGUGCCGUUCGAAUAGGGCGGCACCUUGACGGUACCUAACCAGAAAGCCACGGCUAACUACGUGCCAGCAGCCGCGGUAAUACGUAGGUGGCAAGCGUUGUCCGGAAUUAUUGGGCGUAAAGCGCGCGCAGGCGGUCUCUUAAGUCUGAUGUGAAAGCCCACGGCUCAACCGUGGAGGGUCAUUGGAAACUGGGGGACUUGAGUACAGAAGAGGAAAGUGGAAUUCCACGUGUAGCGGUGAAAUGCGUAGAUAUGUGGAGGAACACCAGUGGCGAAGGCGACUUUCUGGUCUGUAACUGACGCUGAGGCGCGAAAGCGUGGGGGAGCAAACAGGAUUAGAUACCCUGGUAGUCCACGCCGUUAAACGAUGAGUGCUAAGUGUUAGAGGGUUUCCGCCCUUUUAGUGCUGCAGCUAACGCAUUAAGCACUCCGCCUGGGAGUACGGUCGCAAGACUGAACUCAAAGGAAUUUGACGGGGGCCCGCACAAGCGGUGGAGCAUGUGGUUUAAUUCCGAAGCAUCGCGGAAGAACCUUUACCAGGUCUUGACAUCCUCUGACAUCCUAGAGAUAAGGCUUUUCCCCUUCGGGGAACAGAGUGACAGGUGGUUGCAUGUUGUCGUCAGCUCGUGUUCGUGAAGAUUGUUGGGGUUUAAGUUCCCGCAACCGAGGCGCAACCUGAUCUUAGUUGCAGCAUUCAGUGUGCACCUCUAGAGUUGACUCGUCCCGGGUGUACA